rnacentral:rRNA from 1 species
AUGAAUUAUGAGUUUAAUAGAUCCUCUUUAGCAGAAAGACGUAUAUUCCUUGCUCAUUAUCAGACAAUCACUUAUUCCCAAACCUCGUUUGGGACUAAUCAUUUUCAUGUACCAUCUCAUGGAAAACCCUUUUCGUUCCGCUUAGCCCUAUCGGGUAUUUUAGUGAUAGGUUCUAUAGAUCACCAAAUAUUUUGGGACACCGGAUUUUCAUUCAUAUUUAGAAUAAUUCUUACAUUGCAAAAAAAUCACAAAAACAACUUAAAAAUACUAAAAUGUAUUCCUGCCAUCGUAGGAGAGGUCAACGACCCCUGA